AUGGGCGGAAGCUGAUGCAGCAACGCCGCGUGCGGGAUGACGGCCUUCGGGUUGUAAACCGCUUUCACCCAUGACGAAGCGCGAGUGACGGUAGUGGGGGAAGAAGCACCGGCCAACUACGUGCCAGCAGCCGCGGUGAUACGUAGGGUGCGAGCGUUGUCCGGAAUUAUUGGGCGUAAAGAGCUUGUAGGCGGUUGAUCGCGUCGAUAGUGAAAUCCCGGGGCUCAACCUCGGGCUUGCUGUCGAUACGGGUUGACUUGAGGAAGGUAGGGGAGAAUGGAACUCCCGGUGGAGCGGUGGAAUGCGCAGAUAUCGGGAAGAACACCGGUGGCGAAGGCGGUUCUCUGGACCUUUCCUGACGCUGAGAAGCGAAAGCGUGGGGAGCAAACAGGCUUAGAUACCCUGGUAGUCCACGCUGUAAACGGUGGGUACUAGGUGUGGGUCGCAUUCCACGUGAUCCGUGCCGUAGCCAACGCAUUAAGUACCCCGACCUGGGGAGUACGGCCGCAACGCUAAAACUCAAAGGAAUUGACGGGGCCCCGCACAAGCGGCGGAGCAUGCGGAUUAAUUCGAUGCAACGCGAAGAACCUUACCUGGGAUUUGACAUGUACUGGAAGCGCUCAGAGAUGGG
rnacentral:rRNA from 1 species